rnacentral:rRNA from 1 species
UACGAAGGUGGCAAGCGUUACUCGGAAUUACUAGGCGUAAAGGGCAGGUAGGUGGUUUGAUAAGUCUGUUGUGAAAGCUCCCGGCUUAACUGGGAGAGGUCAACAGAAACUAUCAGACUUGAGUAUGGGAGAGGGUACUGGAAUUCCUGGUGUAGCGGUGAAAUGCGCAGAGAUCAGGAGGAACACCGAUGGCGAAAAGCAGGUACCUGGACCAUUACUGACACUCAGCUGCGAAAAGCUAGGGGGAGCAAACGG